rnacentral:pre_miRNA from 7 species
CUUUGUGAUCUUCCACAGCUUUCUUGAACUGCAUCUCUCAGAGGAGCGGCAGCUUCAACUCCUCCACCCGCAUCAGCAGGUGCAUGCAGUUCAAUAAAGCUGUGGGAAACUGCAGAGA